GAUGAACGCUGGCGGCGUGCCUAAUACAUGCAAGUCGAGCGAACAGACGAGGAGCUUGCUCCUCUGACGUUAGCGGCGGACGGGUGAGUAACACGUGGAUAACCUACCUAUAAGACUGGGAUAACUUCGGGAAACCGGAGCUAAUACCGGAUAAUAUAUUGAACCGCAUGGUUCAAUAGUUAAAGACGGUUUUGCUGUCCCUUAUAGAUGGAUCCGCGCCGCAUUAGCUAGUUGGUAAGGUAACGGCUUACCAAGGCAACGAUGUGUAGCCGACCUGAGAGGGUGAUCGGCCACACUGGAACUGAGACACGGUCCAGACUCCUACGGGAGGCAGCAGUAGGGAAUCUUCCGCAAUGGGCGAAAGCCUGACGGAGCAACGCCGCGUGAGUGAUGAAGGUCUUCGGAUCGUAAAACUCUGUUAUUAGGGAAGAACAAAUGUGUAAGUAACUAUGCACGUCUUGACGGUACCUAAUCAGAAAGCCACGGCUAACUACGUG
rnacentral:rRNA from 1 species